AUCGUGGACACCGGGCUUUAGCAUGGUACUUUGGUUCCUGCGGAACCAGUAAUCCAUUCGGGACAGAAAGAAGAAGAAGAAGAAGAAGGCAUGUUGCUGAAGGCGUGUUGCUACAUCUCGUCGGUAUGACGGGAAUCAGAACCUGAUUCCUGUCAACUUUAACGUUUAAUAUCUCGCGUCGCGGGGCAGAGCAACACUUUUUUCUGCCAGAUUCUUUCAUUUCGUACAAAAACGCGUCGAUUGAGCAUAAUUUCAUCGAUAUUUGAGUGAAACACCAGUGGUAGGGAUGGCUUGAGUGGGCUUGAGUAGGUGGAGGUGGAGGGCAAAGGGCAACCGCCUGCCAUAUAUCCUCAUCCGGCUAGUCUGCCGGUGCAGGCACGUGCCAUGUACAUACAUACAUAGAUCAAAGUGAAGUCCAUGGUCUUCGAUCUAUGUAUGUACAUACAUGACACGUGCCUGCACCGGGCCUUCAUCAGCAAUCAGUGUAUCCCGAAAACAAUCAACUACCGAUUCAUCAGUUCUCUAGUCCACCUCAAAGGCACCGGCCGCAUAUCCGAACACUUGGUAAUUCGUUUGGAGAUUCCAAUCGAAUUACCAAAUGUGUUCGGAUAUGCUCAUGCGCCCGCUCCUCAGCAUGAAUGUGUGUAGGAAAACUCACACUCAGGCUGAGGAGCGGACGCAUGAGCAUAUAAAAAGAUCGAAUUGCUUCUUUUUUAAACGAGUGUACAGAUACAGAAGAUGAAGACGAAUAAGUUAAACAUUCUGCAUAUAGUUUUGAGUAAAAAUAAUAAUUUAAUAAUGUUUUUACAUAAAUAAUUGAAUGUACUAAUAGACGUAUUUUGCAAGUAAUCCAAUUAAGAGAAAGUUCAAGAAAAUAAAAUAUCGCCAAUAAAUGAUGUUUCGGUAAAGAAAGGCGAAAAAAAAAUUGUAAGUAGGUUCAAACUUGAACGAGCCGGAAGAAAGAAGUGACUUGUAAAUAUAUGUUGAAUACAUAUAUUAAAAUUAAAAUUUAUUUUCGCAAUA